CGGUAAUGCUAUAUGGUCAGGCAGGUGAUCAGGGCUAUGGCUAUGAGGUCAAGCAGGCAGGGCUAUGGCCAUGCAGUCAGGUGAUCAGGGCUAUGGCUAUGAGGUCAAGCAGGCAGGGCUAUGGCUAUGCAGUCAGGUGAUCAGGGCUAUGGCUAUGAGGUCAAGCAGGCAGGGCUAUGGCUAUGCAGUCAGGUGAUCAGGGCUAUGGCUGUAUAGUCAGGUGGUCAGAGCUAUGGCCAUGAGGUCAGGUGAUCAGGGCUAUGGCUAUGAGGUCAAGCACGCAGAGCUAUGGCUAUGCAGUCAGGUGACCCGGGCUGUAAGGCUGUG